GGCUUUGUACUUCAGCUGGUAGAGCGCUUGCCGCGUUAAGGCAUGGCGUUUCUGUCGCUGGUUUUAAUCCAGCCGAAGCCC